CAAGAGUGGUUGUGAUUACCUGGUUGGACUAGAGUCUCAGUAUUUCUCUGAGGAUCUUUGAAACCACCUGAUCCACCCAUU
rnacentral:snoRNA from 1 species